GAUGAAGAACGUAGCGAAAUCCGAUAAGUAAUGUGAAUUGCAGAAUUCAGUGAAUCAUCGAAUCUUUGAACGCACAUUGCGCCCGCCAGUAUUCUGGCGGGCAUGCCUGUUCGAGCGUCAUUUCAACCAUCAAGCCCCAGGCUUGUGUUGGGGACCUGCGGCUGCCGCAGGCCCUGAAAACCAGUGGCGGGCUCGCUGUCACACCGGGCGUAGUAGAUUUUAUCUCGCUCAGGGCGUGCUGCGGGUUCCGGCCGUUAAAAAGCCUUUUUUACCCAAGGUUGACCUCGGAUCAGGUAGGAAGACCCGCUGAACUUAAGCAUAUCAAUAAGCGGAGGA
rnacentral:misc_RNA from 1 species